AGGGAAUAUUGCUUAAUGGGCGAAAGCCUGAAGCAGCAACGCCGCGUGUGUGAAGAAGGCCUUCGGGUUGUAAAACACUUUUUGAGGGGAUGAGGAAGGACAGUACCCUCAGAAUAAGCCUCGGCUAACUACGUGCCAGCAGCCGCGGUAAAACGUAGGAGGCGAGCGUUAUCCGGAUUUACUGGGCGUAAAGCGCGUGCAGGCGGCACGGCAAGUUGGAUGUGAAAGCUCCCGGCUUAACUGGGAGAGGUCGUUCAAAACUGCCGAGCUAGAGUGCGGGAGAGGGAGGUGGAAUUCCGGGUGUAGUGGUGAAAUGCGUAGAUAUCCGGAGGAACACCAGUGGCGAAAGCGGCCUCCUGGUCCGCAACUGACGCUCAGACGCGAAAGCUGGGGUAGCAAACGG
rnacentral:rRNA from 1 species